rnacentral:tRNA from 1 species
GCAUCAAUAGCUCAAAUUGGCAGAGCAAACGGUCGAUAACCGUUAGGUUUCAGGUUCAAGCCCUGGUCGAUGCACCA